AGAACGAACGCUGGCGGCAUGCCUAACACAUGCAAGUCGAACGAACUCUUCGGAGUUAGUGGCGCACGGGUGCGUAACGCGUGGGAAUCUGCCCUUGGGUACGGAAUAACUCAGAGAAAUUUGUGCUAAUACCGUAUAAUGACUUCGGUCCAAAGAUUUAUCGCCCAAGGAUGAGCCCGCGUAAGAUUAGCUAGUUGGUGGGGUAAAGGCCUACCAAGGCUACGAUCUUUAGCUGGUCUGAGAGGAUGAUCAGCCACACUGGGACUGAGACACGGCCCAGACUCCUACGGGAGGCAGCAGUGGGGAAUAUUGGACAAUGGGCGAAAGCCUGAUCCAGCAAUGCCGCGUGAGUGAUGAAGGCUUAGGUUGUAAAGCUCUUUUACCCGAGAUGAUAAUGACAGUAUCGGAGAAUAAGCCCGGCUAAACUCCGUGCCAAGCAGCCGC
rnacentral:rRNA from 1 species